rnacentral:rRNA from 1 species
GAUGAACGCUGGCGGCGUGCUUAACACAUGCAAGUCGAACGAUGAAGCCCAGCUUGCUGGGUGGAUUAGUGGCGAACGGGUGAGUAACACUUGAGUAACCUGCCCUUAACUCUGGGAUAGGCCUGGGAAACUGGGUCUAAUACCGGAUAGGAGCGCCUACCGCAGGGUGGGUGUUGGAAAGAUUUAUCGGUUUUGGAUGGACUCGCGGCCUAUCAGCUUGUUGGUGAGGUAAUGGCUCACCAAGGCGACGACGGGUAGCCGGCCUGAGAGGGUGACCGGCCACACUGGGACUGAGACACGGCCCAGACUCCUACGGGAGGCAGCAGUGGGGAAUAUUGCACAAUGGGCGAAAGCCUGAUGCAGCGACGCCGCGUGAGGGAUGACGGCCUUCGGGUUGUAAACCGCUUUCAGUAGGGAAGAAGCGAAAGUGACGGUACCUGCAGAAGAAGCACCGGCUAACUACGU